UUGAUUUAUAAUGUUCUCCCAAUUUCAACAUAACUUACAGGAAGAAUCUGCCCUUAGGAUAUAAAUAAGCCAUUGACAGGGACAGACCGGGGACCGUAGGCCAGUGCUGGGAGGAGGGCACUAGUCUGGUUCCCCACUGUUCACUGGCGCUCACCCUCCAGAGAGCCCCUGAGAACAAGAAUUUUGUGUUUUGUUCACUGAUGUAUCGCCAACGCCUGACACUCAAUGAACAUGCGUCAAAUGGAAAAACAUAAAUCAUGUUUCUCGAGGUUUUUACAGACGUGGGAAAAUAUUUUUGAAAUUAUAUUAAGAAGAAAGUUAAGAAAGAAAACCUUGGUAUGUGCACAGGGGUGGGGAAUGCUAGAGGGAAUUACAUGAAAGUGUUAACUGAGGCUAUAGCUGCGCAGUAAAGUGAUGGGUGGCCUUUCAUGAAUGUUUUCCUGAGUUUUUUAGCAAAGUAAUUUGCCAACUAGAAUUACUUGGACAAUAACAGCAACAAUAAAAAGAGGGAACAAAAAAGCACCAUGCAGCAUGGUUUGGAAAGCAGUCAAUCCUCCUGUAGACAUUCCUGUGGCCUGUGGGGAAGCAGUCAGCCUGGGCCUGCAAGGGUUAACCCAGAGCCAGGGUCAGGAAGGAAGGAAGGGUCCACCCUCAGACUCGGUAGGAUUUGAGAUCCUCUGGCCCCUCGAACUUGACCUCCACCAACCAUGUAAGAAGACACAGACACACACACGAGAAUGCCACAUGAACAUGAAGACAGGAUUAGGGUGCUGCUUCUAUAGGCCAAGGAAUGCUGAAAAUUGCAACCAUGAGAAGCUAAGAGGAAAGCCUGGAGCUGAUUCUCCCUCAGGGCGCUCAGAAGGAAACAAUACUGCUGACACUUUGCUCUUGGACUUCCAGCCUCCAGGACAGGGAAACAAUACAUUUCUGUUGUGUAAGCCCUCCAGUCUAUGGCAUUUUCCUAUGGUAGCCUGAGCCAAGUAAGACUGUGAGGGAAAAGUGCCUGCCCUGAAGUCAGGUCAUGGGGGAGCCUUGGCAAGUCACUUGUCUCUCUGGGACUCAGUUUACUUAUCUGGAAAAUGGAAGACCUGGCCUAGAGCAGUGGAUUUCAAACUUGGUUUUAACUCUGGAAUAAAGUCUUACACAGAAGCCCCAAAAGUAAAGGUAAAAAGAAACUCUCAUCCAGAGAAGCCUGCUCUGGAUCUCUUGUGCUCCCUGUAGAGCAGCCUUUGAAAGUCACAAUUUCUGAUCAUUUGCAAAAUCCCUAAGAAGCUCCAAACCUGAAAACCCACCAACCAGGAUGUCCGAGCAUCUUGCUUGCAGCCAAGCUUGGGCUGGGCGCCAAGGAUCCAGCCCUUUUCUUCAAGUGGCUGCCAGUCUUGGUGGAGGUGAGGAGACUAAUGCCCAUCACACUGUCGGACCAGCCAGGCCACCCUCUCCCUCCUAAGAGCUACAGCUCCUAAGUGCAAACAGGUCACCUGAUGUUCUAAAUCCGCCACAUCUAAAUUUAUCUUGCCCUCCAAGGACAAGCAGAUGCUAUGCCUUAUCAGAGCAUGACAAGUGGCAGAACGACAGACGUGACGCGCCCUUAUCACCCCAAGGACAGGAAUGACGUCUGCAGAAAGACUUGGUUUCCCUGACGACGAAAUCAAGAGCUUGUGUGCCAGCCUGGCAGGCCUGAAGGGGACCAGGUCACACAGACCUGUCCCUGGAGCCUGGACUCCUCACCCUGACGCAUGCCUGGCACUGCCAGGGAACCUGUAGCCCUUAAGCAGGAGCGAGAAAAAGGGAGGCUAUGUGCAGCACAGCCCAGCCCUGUCACAUCUUUGGGAAAGGACCCAGGACACCCAUCCCACUCAGUGAACACCGACAAUGUGCAGGCAGGAGACUGGGGGCUGUGUGAGGGGGACACCACCAGUCACAGCACAGCACUGAGCAGCCCAGGAGGAUGCCAGAGACCCCAGGGAUGAGGUCCAGGGUCGGACAGAGCUGAUCCAGACAUGGCUUCCCUCCAAACCCUUGCAGGAUCCAAGGCCCUGGGACUGCACCUGCUAAAGGAGUAAAGGUGGGCCCUGCCUGCCAGCAUCCCAGAAGAAGCGGGCAGCAGCCCUCGGCCACAGUCCUGCAGAAGGUGCAAGAUAGCAAGACUCAGCCCAUCCUCCCAGAGCCCAGGGACUUGUCGGGGGACACAAAAUCAACCAGAAAAGAGGGAAAUGGCAUCACCAACCCCACUGCCCCACUGUGGAACAGGCAGCAGAUCUGGUCUUUAUUCGUUCAACUUUUAAUUACACAAAUAACUCACCAGUUCAGGCUCCUCUUCAAAAAAAUCACCUUAAAGAUAAAGUCCCCCCAACCUCUAUGCCUUCCUCAGGGGCAACCUUCCAGAACAUCCAUAUGUCCUUGCAAAGAAACCUACCAGGCCAGGAGUCAGGACACACUGUGACACAAUCGGCUUCUUUGAGUAUGCUGUGGGGCCGAGGCUGCAGGAAUCAGGGUGGCCUCCAGGAAGAGGAGGCUAGAGGCAGGGACUUGAAUGUUCUAAGGGCAGAGGUCCCUGGGGACACUGGACCCAUGUGAUGUCAGCACAGAAGUAGCUGGCCGCACUCAUCCUUUGUAGCCAAUUCAGCUUCUUUGGGAAACUCCAAGGCCUUCAACCUUUGCCCUACCCCACUAGCACCAUGAUGACGCUGAUGACAAUGACGGCAAGUGCCAGGCAUUCUGCUGGUCCUCCCAACAGCUCUACCAGGUUGGUAUUAGUGUCACCCAUUUUAUAGACAAUGAAACUGCAACCCAGAGAAGUUAAGCAACUUGCCCCAUGUCACACAUUUGGGAGCAGCAGAGCCACCUUAAUGCCAAUGACCAAGUCCCUUCCAAGACUGCACUGCUUCUGUGGCCAGUGGAACAGCUCCUGCGCCUUAAACAAUGCCCAGCACACAGUAGGGGCUCAACACACAUCUGCAGGCUGAUUUCUUGUUUAAAUACCAUGAGCGAUGCCAAGUGAACCGUCCAGUGCUAGGCUCGUUCAAGGCAGUCUUUGCAUUAGCACAGUAUUCUGGGUUUUUUGGUCUUUAAGCUUAAAAGUCUACAUUUUCUUCUAGGAAUCCCCCAUAGCCUAGGGCUUCUGCUCCUGGAAAGAGUUAAGACUUUGGCAAGAGGCUCUUGCACAAGGCAAACGAAACCUCGCCCGGCCCAUGUCUGUCUAUAUGGGAACAGGGCACAGCAGCAGCCACCUUCUGUGAACGGCCUCCUCGUAAACGUCAGUCCCGCCAGGAGGUGGGGACGGGGCCUUGAUUUAUUAUAUAGCUUUUGGACAGUUCCUACAGAAAUAUUGCCAGACAGUGGAAUAAUCAACUCUUUCACUCAAGCCCCCUCCUACUUUUUUUUUUUAAAUGAAAGAAUAAAGUACGCAAUGAGCCUGGGCUAAAUAAAUAAAAAUGCCACACUUUUUGCCCAACAGAACUUUCUGCGUCACUGAGAAAUAUUU
ensembl:lncRNA